rnacentral:rRNA from 1 species
GAUGAACGCUAGCUACAGGCUUAACACAUGCAAGUCGAGGGGAAACGGCAUCGAAAGCUUGCUUUUGAUGGGCGUCGACCGGCGCACGGGUGAGUAACGCGUAUCCAACCUGCCCAUCACUUGGGAAUAACCUUGCGAAAGUAAGACUAAUGCCCAAUGACAUCCCACGAAGGCAUCCGAAUGGGAUUAAAGAUUUAUCGGUGAUGGAUGGGGAUGCGUCUGAUUAGCUUGUUGGCGGGGUGACGGCCCACCAAGGCAACGAUCAGUAGGGGUGCUGAGAGGAAGGUCCCCCACAUUGGAACUGGGACACGGUCCAAACUCCUGCGGGAGGCAGCAGUGAGGAAUAUUAGUCAGUGGGCGAGAUCCUGAACCAGCCAAGUAGCGUGCAGGAUGACGGCCCUAUGGGUUGUAUACUGCUUUUAUAAAGGAAUAAAAUGGGUCACGUGUGACUUUUGGCAUGUACCGUAUGAAUAAGGACCGGCUAAUUCCGU